AGAGUUGCCAGGGACAAGCUUGAGUUGGAUGUCGAACUUGCCAUAGAGAUACUGAUUCUUGGAUUGGAAACCUGAGCCAGAGGCUUUGUCAAGAGAAAGUGUAAUGAGAUUGCCAUUGUUGAGUAUUUUACCACGCCCAUCUCCCCAAGUGAUAUCAACAUCCUGGUAAAAAUUUCCAGCAACAGCAACCACAAGGGAUGCCAAUAGGAGCAGCGCUAAAGGAUUGGGUUGAGAAGGAUAGGCAGCCAUUGAAGACUAAGAAGAGUAUGAGAAUUGAAAUAUGAUGUCUUUUUUAAUAUUUGACGCACUGGGAUGUUUCAGCUUGGUGGGUAUUUAUAGGAGUUUUAGCUAGGAAUGUUCCUUGGCAAAGCAAUACAGAAUUGGGUCGUUGUAAAGAAAUAAUAAGCAAACAGCUGGAUGCCAGGAAAAAUGCAUAUUGAAA
rnacentral:misc_RNA from 1 species